UAAUAAUUGGAUGGUUUUAAAAAAGUUUCAUGCAAAUAUAUGUAUUGAAUAUGGUUAUAUGCAAUUCCUUUAACUGUUUUAUGUAUUUUGGAAUGUUACUUUGAUGAGCAAUUACGGACCAUCUGAAAGAUAAAGAAAGGGUUCCGGCCACGAUUCUGACCGGAUGUCGCUUAUAUGGAGAUAGUCGUGCACGAUUAGUUGGUCUGAUUGCAAGGGUUUUUUCUUUUCGUAUUCUGAUUUGGUUCAGUAACCGUGUGGAUACAGGUGCAUUGCCUCCAUUUCAGUUCAGCUAUUUGAGAAAUAGGAAAUCAUUAUCUGAGUUUUGGCGGGAUUGUCCUAUUCUGGCUGAUAAUUCAAAGGAGCAUAAUUGCAUGCCUUAUGAACAUUAUACCGCAACAUUACUUGCACAAAAAGGCCUUGAAGGAGAACCCACAAAUAGGAGUUUAACUCACACUUCAUGGGUAUCUCAUCAAGCAAAGGUCGUGAAAGGCAAGGAUGGCAUCCUAC